CUGGACACACACACACACACACUGAAACACACACACACUGGACACAGCACACACACACUAGGCACACACACACACACUGGCCACCCACACACACUGGACAAACACCCAUACACACACACACUCACUCAAACGGACAUACAAACACACUGGAAACACACUGGACACACACACACACACUGGACACACACACACACACUGGACACACACACACACUGGACACACACAAACACACUGGACACACACACACACACACACACACACACACACACACACUGGACCCACUAGAUACACACACACACUCACUGGACACACACACUCACUGGACACACACACUCACUGGACACACACUGACACACACACUGACACACACACGCUUGACACACACACGCUUGAUACACACACACAAACACACUGGAUACACACACACAAACACACUGGAUACAGAUACACACACACACACACACACACACACACACACUGGAUACACACACACACACACACACACUGGAUACACACACACACACACACACUGGAUACACACACACAAACACACACUGGACACACACACACACACUGACACACAUACACACUGAAACACACACAAUUGACAAACACACACUGGAAGAUGACACGUGUUAAAUCAGUUUCUGGACCACAGGUUCUAGAACAGCUUCUAUCCCAGUUCUAUCUGCCUGUUAAAUCAGUUUCUGGACCACAGGUUCUAGAACAGCUUCUAUCCCAGUUCUAUCUGCCUGUUAAAUCAGUUUCUGGACCACAGGUUCUAGAACAGCUUCUAUCCCAGUUCUAUCUGCCUGUUAAAUCAGUUUCUGGACCACAGG
rnacentral:lncRNA from 1 species